rnacentral:rRNA from 1 species
CCUACGGGGCGCAGCAGUGGGGGAUAUUGCACAAUGGGGGGAACCCUGAUGCAGCGACGCCGCGUGGGUGAAGAAGCGCCUCGGCGCGUAAAGCCCUGUCAGCAGGGAAGAAAAUGACGGUACCUCAAGAAGAAGCCCCGGCUAACUACGUGCCAGCAGCCGCGGUAAUACGUAGGGGGCAAGCGUUAUCCGGAUUUACUGGGUGUAAAGGGGGCGCAGACGGCGAUGCAAGCCAGGAGUGAAAGCCCGGGGGCCAACCCCGGGACUGCUCUUGGAACUGCGUGGCUGGAGUGCAGGAGGGGAAGGCGGAAUUCCUGGUGUAGCGGUGAAAUGCGUAGAUAUCAGGAGGAACACCGGUGGCGAAGGCGGCCUGCUGGACUGCAACUGACGUUGAGGCCCGAAAGCGUGGGGAGCAAACAGGAGUAGAUACCCUUGUAGUC